rnacentral:rRNA from 1 species
UACGGAGGGUGCAAGCGUUAAUCGGAAUUACUGGGCGUAAAGCGUGCGCAGGCGGUUUGUUAAGUCUGUUGUGAAAUCCCCGAGCUCAACUUGGGAAUUGCAAUGGAUACUGGCAAGCUGGAGUAUGGUAGAGGAAGGUGGAAUUCCCGGUGUAGCAGUGAAAUGCGUAGAGAUCGGGAGGAACACCAGUGGCGAAGGCGGCCUUCUGGACCAAUACUGACGCUCAUGCACGAAAGCGUGGGGAGCAAACAGGAUUAGAUACCCUGGUAGUCCACGCCCUAAACGAUGCGAACUGGAUGUUGGGUACAUUACGGUACUCAGUGUCGAAGCUAACGCGUUAAGUUCGCCGCCUGGGGAGUACGGUCGCAAGACUGAAACUCAAAG